CUACCGAGACAAUCCAACUAGUUUAAAAAGUGGCCCGGACAGCACGCGCCGCGGUGUCCGCUCGUGCCCACGCGGACACCGGGCAGCAGCCGCCGGUGUCCGCGGGGGUCGCGGCUCUGUGACGUCCUCGGAAGCAGCUCUUUCAAUUUCUUUUUGACGACAAAUAUCGUCUGCACACGUGAAGCCUGUGACUAAAACAGGAGUUAGAUACGUUUCAAGACUCCAACAGUUGAAACCUGGGCGACAAGAAACAUCUGGCGGCCACAUGUUCCAGUAUUUUAAGUGCACUUGUAAAUAAAAGGUGAAACAUCCUAA